CUCGCUGAAAUGCAAAGCCCACACUGAAAGCCCUCUGAGGCACAGCGGCGCCUGACGCCUGGGGUAGCGUGUAUCCUGUAGGUGUCACCCCCAAACAGCUGUGAGCACUCAAAGCUAAAACGCUGUUCAGGAUGAUUUCUGCUUUCCACCUUCCUAUGGGGAUCAGGCCAGAGUCACAGCCAUCUGAGGGUCCCUGAGGGAAAGUACUUUCAAAACUUUCUGAGUUUCUAUUUGCUCAGCCUCCGAAGCAACCUCUGACCUACCUGGUAUCCCAGUCAUCGGAGCCAGUAUCAUACUUAUAGGUAGGCUGGAACGUGAGCUCACCCUCGCUGAAGCCCUCGAAGACAGCCUUAGCAG